AAAAAAAAAAUCUGCAAAAUAAUUGCGUCGUUUGAACAAUGCUGGGAGGGAAGGUGGGUUUCCCUCCUAUAUGGAAUGUUCAAUACAAGCAAAAACUUCAGCAACUGGAGACAGAGGAAUCCUUCUCUAACCGUAGAUUCCCCAAGCUUUUCUCUAGGAGGAGAUGUCCAAAAGCUCCUUUUAGCAGUGUUUAAACUCAAAAUUAGGAGUUCCUGCCUUUUCUGCAGGUAAGCACACAUUUAGGCUGUGGUGAAGUUGUCCAAAGGUGUUUUUAGAGCUGUGUCUGCCUUAAUGCCAUACUAAUCCUUUCUCCUCUUUCUCCCCCAAAUUAGUGUUUGGAAUAUUCGAACGAAAAUAAAAAAAAACCCUCUGCUGAUUGACAGUUACACCCGGAAUACUGAGUUCACUGUUCCCAGAAUUACACCUGAGAUUACACCAAUUAGGUUGAGAGCUAAGACUGAGACAAGCUUGGAGAUCAAGGAAAAAGAAAACGCCCGGGAAAUGUACAGACAAGUUUCGAUACCAUUAAAUUAGCCACCAGAGGCCACUGCUGAUGCAGGCUGGAUUUAGGCAUGUUUUCACAAACUCGAGCAGAGAUAAUUUGCCUAAAAUUUCUGACACUUCUCCCCUUUUUGUUUCAGCUAAGGAGCAAGUCGCCAGCAAGAGCCUGAUGAUUGAAGUGUCGGGAAAAAUAUGACUGCCCCAAAGAAAGCAGGGAAGGAAUCGUAUACUUCUUUUGAACAUUGUGCUGCCUUGGAAGUGAUUGGCUUUAAGCAAUUUUGGAGCCUUGCCUGCUUUUCAUCAAGCUGUUGAAAGCCUCAAAUGGAUAUCACAAGAACUACUUCUACCUUACAAAUCAUGCUGCUGAACAGCAAAACAUCUCAUCUGAACCCAGAAAGUCCCAUAAAGACUGACUAUACGUAUCUCAGAUUCCAGGUUUGAAUAGGAACAAGUUACAAUGCUUUGAGUUCUUAGAUAUAUCCAUAACAAAAUCUUUUAGUCAUAUGCUGCUGGCUGCGAUGUCUUUAUGCAGUAAAUACAACGUAGAACAAAUCAUUUGCUUGAAUAUUUAUGAAGAUUUGUCACAUGAUUGCAUUAAGAAAUGGUCUCAAAAAAUCAUGUAAAACAAAGCAAAGAUUCAGUAUUUGUAUAUUUAUUUUGUUAACUUGAAAGUCUGUCCAUUUUGGUAUACUGUAAAAUCAGGAUAUUUCAAGAACUAAUAAAAUGCCUGAGCGAUACAAAAU